rnacentral:rRNA from 1 species
GAUGAACGCUGGCGGCGUGCCUAAUACAUGCAAGUCGAGCGAACAGACGAGGAGCUUGCUCCUCUGACGUUAGCGGCGGACGGGUGAGUAACACGUGGAUAACCUACCUAUAAGACUGGGAUAACUUCGGGAAACCGGAGCUAAUACCGGAUAAUAUAUUGAACCGCAUGGUUCAAUAGUGAAAGACGGUUUUGCUGUCACUUAUAGAUGGAUCCGCGCCGCAUUAGCUAGUUGGUAAGGUAACGGCUUACCAAGGCGACGAUGCGUAGCCGACCUGAGAGGGUGAUCGGCCACACUGGAACUGAGACACGGCCCAGACUCCUACGGGAGGAAGCAGUAGGGAAUCUUACGCAAUGGGCGAAAGCGUGACGGAGCAACGCCGCGUGAGGGAUGAAGGUCUUCGGAUCGUAAAGCUCUGUUAUUAGGGAAGAACAAAUGUGUAAGUAACUAUGCACGUCUUGACGGUACCGAAUCAGAAAGCCACGGCUAACUACGUG